AGUGAACGCUGGCGGCAGGCCUAACACAUGCAAGUCGAGCGGCAGCGCGGGGCAACCUGGCGGCGAGCGGCGGACGGGUGAGGAAUGCAUCGGAAUCUACCCUGUCGUGGGGGAUAACGUAGGGAAACUUACGCUAAUACCGCAUACGACCGAGAGGUGAAAGUGGGGGACCUUCGGGCCUCACGCGAUUGGAUGAGCCGAUGCCGGAUUAGCUAGUUGGUGGGGUAAAGGCCCACCAAGGCGACGAUCCGUAGCUGGUCUGAGAGGAUGAUCAGCCACAUUGGGACUGAGACACGGCCCAAACUCCUACGGGAGGCAGCAGUGGGGAAUAUUGGACAAUGGGCGCAAGCCUGAUCCAGCCAUGCCGCGUGUGUGAAGAAGGCC
rnacentral:rRNA from 1 species